UGACCUCACUCACUGUCUGUGCAUGUGCUAAACCAUUUACACUCACAGGCUCUGCUCUAAGACUGUGACUCUCUGCAGGAGCAGGAAAGUCUUUGUGGGGACUGUCAUGUGUUAACAAGUAAUACACCCCUCAAGACCUUGACGGGGUGAGGCCUUCUUCUGCUCUCACCGUGCCAUGGGUACCAGGCUCCUCCGCUGGGCAGUGUUUUGUCUCCUGGAGGCAGUACUGUCUGAAGCUGGAGUCACCCAGUCUCCCAGAUUUGCAGUCAUACAGGAAAGGCAGAAUGUUUCCUUGCAGUGUGACCCUAUUUCUGGACAUGCUGUCCUUUAUUGGUACCUGCAGCCCAGAGACCAUGGGCUCCAGCUCCUAGUUUACUUCCAGAAUGAGGCUGUUGUGGAUGAGUCACAGUUGCCCAAGGAUCACUUCUCUGCACUGAGGCCUGAAGGUGUUGACUCCACUCUCAAGAUCCAGUCUGCAAAGCAGGGGCACUCAGCCACUUAUCUCUGUGCCAGCAGCUUAGCCACAGCAAGGCAGUAGCACCUCCCUGCUGUGCACAAAGCUGAUGGUUUUCUUCAAGCCAGCUUACUUAUAGCAGAGACUUCUGAUUACGUCCUUUCUUCCA